CAAGCCCCAGCCAUCCCUCCAGUCGAAGCCCCAACACUCUCUCCAGCCCCAGCCCCAACCCUCCCUCCAGCCCCAGCCCCAACCCUCCCUCCAGCCCCAGCCCCGACCCUCUCUCCUGCCUCUGCCGCAGCCCAAGCCUAAACCUCCUCCCGUCCCCAGCCACCUAGCCCAGCAGAAAGGACCCCUCCAGGUCCUUCAUCCAGCCAUCCUGCCCCCCUGCCCUCAGUCCUCCCCCUCAACACCUCACACACACAGACCUGACCCCCCCAACAGACCCCCACCCCCCUGCCCACUCUCCAAACCCCAAAUAUCAUCAGAUGUGAUACAGAGAGGAAAGUCCAAUCUGGCGCCACCUGGUGGACAGAAGAAACCCAGCAGAUCCCAAAACAUGAUCUCAGGGAGGAGAUGAGGACCAACACUGGACCACUGAGCUCAGUGAGAUUACUGGACAUCUAACUGGGUAUCUCUUCUCUCUCUGUAAGCUGGAUGUUUUUCCACCUGUGUCCAAAGAAGUCCAUCAGCCUUUAUGAAGAACAUGACACUGUGGGAAAGGAGAGAGGAGGGCCACAGCUGGACACACAGGGUCUCAGUCCAAAAUGGCAACCUAAAAGUAGUACACUAUCUGUCCCGGGAAGCCUCCUCUGUUUCUCAGUGUUUUUAUUUCAUUCCAACAACAAAGACAAAGGAGUUGCCUGAUUAAGAAACAUCUCUGGCUACUAGGCUAGCUGCCAGGCUAUGUCCCGCCUUAUCACCUGAAGCCACUGAUUAAGAAACAUCUCUGGCUACUAGGCUAGCUGCCAGGCUAUGUCCCGCCUUAUCACCUGAAACCAGGCGUCCUGUAUACUUGUAAUAUUUAAGACUGGACUUUAUCGACUGGUUUAGUUCUUGUGGAUGCUACCUUAUACCAUGGGUUAACAGUAUCAUGUAUUGAUAUGCUGUUUCAGGUGUAUUUAUUUGCAAAGCUUCAGAGCAAAGAAACUGGUGUUUAAAGUCAAUGUACUGUAUAUGGUUUGUACAGGAGCAUGAGUCUGAAGGGAACAUCUGAUAUUACGACAACGCCACGCGCAGAAUGAUGCUUAAUGCUUCUAGUAUGUGAAUAAAUGAUAGGCUGGAAUUUUAAGGACACAAACAUGCAUGUUGUUAUUACAACAUGUGUAUGCCUAUGACGGGAGACAUCUCAAAUGUUGCAGUAACUAUUAGAAAAUGAUAUAUUGUUUUGGUAUGACUGUGGGGUUUUUUUUGUAUAUUGUACUGUUCUUGUUGUGUUGGGUGCUAAAUUCAGGUCUUCUGACUGAAUGAAUGUAAAUUUGUACACCUUGAAGGUUAAUUGUUCCUAUAUAACUACAUACCAGUAUGUUAUCUUUUGAAAUGUGAUGCAUAGGACAGCAGAAUCAACCCAGCUAUAGUCAGGCCCCUAAAGUCUAUGUAUAUAAAAUAAUCUGGUUUUCUUUGAUAUAUUGUUGAAAUUCACCAUCUACCAUCGGACCUAUGCAAACAGUGUGCCUUCAGUUUGAUUUGAAAUAAACUGUUUAAAAACAGGA